AAUUGUAUCUGUGUAAUGUUAAAACAAAUGAAAUAAAAUAGAAGGAAAAACUUUCUGAGUUUCAAAAACAACAGACCAGUACUCUAAAGAACUCUUUAAAACAAUUAACUGUUAGGAUUGCAGUUAUGAUUGGAUAUUAUUUAAUUCUGUUUCUGAUGUGGGGUUCCUCCACUGUGUUCUGUGUGCUAUUAAUAUUUACCAUUGCAGAAGCUUCAUUCAGUGUUGAAAAUGAAUGCUUAGUGGAUCUGUGCCUCUUAUGCAUAUGUUACAAAUUAUCUGGAGUUCCUAAUCAAUGCAGAGUUCCCCUCCCCUCCAAUUGUUCUAAAUAAUUGAAAGAUGUCUGCUGUGGAAAAAGGCAUGUAUUUAAAUCUGUAUGAUUCUCAACCAUCUUUAGUUGGGAAAGGUCCUUGAAAGCCAAUGGAAAUACUUUUUUUUUUUCUUGGCACUAAUCAAGUGAGUGUUACCUUUUCACUUAGUAGGAUGUGUUGUUACGCUAGUAAAAUAGAAACCUGUGUUUAUUCUCAGGUAUUUUAGAAACAACAGCCAUCAUUUUAUUUUAUGUGUGUGUUCUUGGCUGUAUUCAUAAAUUAUAUAUUUUGGGCUAUCAAAUAUUACUUCAUUCAAUAUAAAUAACAAUAGUAGAAGUUGUUUACUUAGAUAUGCUUUCUAGUUGCGUUUUCUCAGCCUAUGUAAGACUACUUUGUUGUAAUAGCCUUUGAAAUUUACAGUACUGUCUCUCUACUAUCUUCAGAUUACUUGAUUCAAAUAAACCAAUUAUGUUUGUAAUUGAUAUUAAUAAAACCAGAAUAAAAGUUCAUAUCUACCC
rnacentral:sRNA from 1 species